CAAAAAUGAACUGCGACCAAAUGAUCGAACAAGAAUUGUCAAAGAAAACUCAAGCUAAAGAGGUUCAAUCAUCAAGACACCACUAGGAAAGAAGUUGGUGCAAAUGCACAAAUCUCAGUCUCCAAUUUCACAGCAUUGUCACAAAUAUAGAUGGACAGCAAACACAAUUUAUAUGUUUCAACACUAAUACAGGGGGAAAAAGAGAUCUAAAAUCUGAAACCCCACCUAUCGACAUGCAGGAAGAACAAAUACUAAGCUAGCUAAUAAACUUCAAUCAGGUUGGAAAUACUAUAUAGACCCUCACACCACGGUAUUGAGAAGUGGGAAAGUAAUAGCCUAAUGUCAUGGCCGCCCCACGAUUUGCAACCUUUACGCUGCUACAUUGUGAUGUAAGCAACCAAUCUCAGUAACAGGGUUUCACUUGACAGGGCACCUAUCGGACAGGGAAAUUAGAUUGAAUUGACUUCAGAAUAGAAG
rnacentral:lncRNA from 1 species